rnacentral:rRNA from 1 species
UACGGGGGGAGCAAGCGUUGUUCGGAUUUACUGGGCGUAAAGGGCGCGUAGGCGGCGUGACAAGUCACUUGUGAAAUCUCCGGGGUUAACUCGGAACGGUCAAGUGAUACUGUCGUGCUAGAGUACAGGAGGGGCAACUGGAAUUCUCGGUGUAGCGGUGAAAUGCGUAGAUAUCGAGAGGAACACCUGCGGCGAAGGCGGGUUGCUGGGCUGAUACUGACGCUGAGGCGCGAAAGCCAGGGGAGCGAACGGG